rnacentral:rRNA from 1 species
UAACAGGAAGAAGCUUGCUUCUUUGCUGACGAGUGGCGGACGGGUGAGUAAUGUCUGGGAAACUGCCUGAUGGAGGGGGAUAACUACUGGAAACGGUAGCUAAUACCGCAUAACGUCGCAAGACCAAAGAGGGGGACCUUCGGGCCUCUUGCCAUCGGAUGUGCCCAGAUGGGAUUAGCUAGUAGGUGGGAUAACGGCUCACCUAGGCGACGAUCCCUAGCUGGUCUGAGAGGAUGACCAGCCACACUGGAACUGAGACACGGUCCAGACUCCUACGGGAGGCAGCAGUGGGGAAUAUUGCACAAUGGGCGCAAGCCUGAUGCAGCCAUGCCGCGUGUAUGAAGAAGGCCUUCGGGUUGUAAAGUACUUUCAGCGGGGAGGAAGGGAGUAAAGUUAAUACCUUUGCUCAUUGACGUUACCCGCAGAAGAAGCACCGGCUAACUCCGUGCCAGCAGCCGCGGUAAUACGGAGGGUGCAAGCGUUAAUCGGAAUUACUGGGCGUAAAGCGCACGCAGGCGGUUUGUUAAGUCAGAUGUGAAAUCCCCGGGCUCAACCUGGGAACUGCAUCUGAUACUGGCAAGCUUGAGUCUCGUAGAGGGGGGUAGAAUUCCAGGUGUAGCGGUGAAAUGCGUAGAGAUCUGGAGGAAUACCGGUGGCGAAG